CGGGACACGUGGUAUCCUGUCUGAAUAUGGGGGGACCAUCCUCCAAGGCUAAAUACUCCUGACUGACCGAUAGUGAACCAGUACCGUGAGGGAAAGGCGAAAAGAACCCCGGCGAGGGGAGUGAAAAAGAACCUGAAACCGUGUACGUACAAGCAGUGGGAGCACGCUUAGGCGUGUGACUGCGUACCUUUUGUAUAAUGGGUCAGCGACUUAUAUUCUGUAGCAAGGUUAACCGAAUAGGGGAGCCGAAGGGAAACCGAGUCUUAACUGGGCGUUAAGUUGCAGGGUAUAGACCCGAAACCCGGUGAUCUAGCCAUGGGCAGGUUGAAGGUUGGGUAACACUAACUGGAGGACCGAACCGACUAAUGUUGAAAAAUUAGCGGAUGACUUGUGGCUGGGGGUGAAAGGCCAAUCAAACCGGGAGAUAGCUGGUUCUCCCCGAAAGCUAUUUAGGUAGCGCCUCGUGAAUUCAUCUCCGGGGGUAGAGCACUGUUUCGGCAAGGGGGUCAUCCCGACUUACCAACCCGAUGCAAACUGCGAAUACCGGAGAAUGUUAUCACGGGAGACACACGGCGGGUGCUAACGUCCGUCGUGAAGAGGGAAACAACCCAGACCGCCAGCUAAGGUCCCAAAGUCAUGGUUAAGUGGGAAACGAUGUGGGAAGGCCCAGACAGCCAGGAUGUUGGCUUAGAAGCAGCCAUCAUUUAAAGAAAGCGUAAUAGCUCACUGGUCGAGUCGGCCUGCGCGGAAGAUGUAACGGGGCUAAACCAUGCACCGAAGCUGCGGCAGCGACGCUUAUGCGUUGUUGGGUAGGGGAGCGUUCUGUAAGCCUGCGAAGGUGUGCUGUGAGGCAUGCUGGAGGUAUCAGAAGUGCGAAUGCUGACAUAAGUAACGAUAAAGCGGGUGAAAAGCCCGCUCGCCGGAAGACCAAGGGUUCCUGUCCAACGUUAAUCGGGGCAGGGUGAGUCGACCCCUAAGGCGAGGCCGAAAGGCGUAGUCGAUGGGAAACAGGUUAAUAUUCCUGUACUUGGUGUUACUGCGAAGGGGGGACGGAGAAGGCUAUGUUGGCCGGGCGACGGUUGUCCCGGUUUAAGCGUGUAGGCUGGUUUUCCAGGCAAAUCCGGAAAAUCAAGGCUGAGGCGUGAUGACGAGGCACUACGGUGCUGAAGCAACAAAUGCCCUGCUUCCAGGAAAAGCCUCUAAGCAUCAGGUAACAUCAAAUCGUACCCCAAACCGACACAGGUGGUCAGGUAGAGAAUACCAAGGCGCUUGAGAGAACUCGGGUGAAGGAACUAGGCAAAAUGGUGCCGUAACUUCGGGAGAAGGCACGCUGAUAUGUAGGUGAAGUCCCUCGCGGAUGGAGCUGAAAUCAGUCGAAGAUACCAGCUGGCUGCAACUGUUUAUUAAAAACACAGCACUGUGCAAACACGAAAGUGGACGUAUACGGUGUGACGCCUGCCCGGUGCCGGAAGGUUAA
rnacentral:rRNA from 1 species